GCCAAGCCAGCAGAGGGAGCUCUCACCCUAGGACUGCCUGCACGCUCCCUCUGCUGCUUCUACUGCUGCUUCCUGUUUGGGACUAUAUAAAGACUGACCAUGUGCUCUAUACUUCGCGAAGUAUUGCCAGUUGAACCUGCCUUACCGAGCGUUGUCAAUUACUCUGUUGGAUUACCUGUUGCUGUCUUGCUUUGUUUCUGGUUCUUGAGUUUACGGAUUACCCCUGUCGGAUUUGGUUGCUGUAUUGGACUGUCUUCUCGGUAUUCGACCCACUGCCUGUGUUUUCACUCUGCUGUUUGGAUUACGUUUAUGUUUUGGACUGAUUUUCCGGUUACUGACCCUCUGCCCGUUUCAUCGUGUAUGUUUGCUGUUGUUUUCAAUAAACUUCUGCAACUGGAUUCUAACACCGCCUCAGCGUCCACGUUACAUUACCAAUGGUGCCAAUAUUAACAGAGGAUACUGUAUAUAGCUAACUUUGAUGCCAAAUUGCAAUUUACGCUGCAUGAUAUGAACCUCGACAGACUGCAGUACAUCACAGUUCUGAAUAAAGUUAUCAGCCAAUGAUGCAGAGAGGUUGAUUGAGUGUGACGGCUGGCAUACCUCCCAUCUCCUGAUACAGACCAAUUUGGGAUGCACCAAUCAAUUACCCUGUGUUGUGGGAAUACAGAAAAAAUGUUUGGUUUUCUUUCUAAGCUAAUUUAUCUGACAUACAAAACUUGAAAUGCUGUUCCAAACCCAUAUCCUGGAAUCCAAUCUGACAGGAAGAAUAUCAGAUGCAGUUUUGUGUUAUUGAAUGCUACUAGGUGCCAGUUUGAGGCAGGUACACACACACACACACAUUUCAUAGCUGCUAACUAACACAGACAAAGAAAAUAAAUCAUUUAACCCAUGUUUUUGUAAUAUGUAUGUCACAAUAACCCGUACAAAGGCGUCAAAUGGUUAAUCAACUCAUCACAUGACCCACUUUCCUAUAAUUCCCCAGGAAAGAUAAGUUAUAAGAUAAAUAUAGAGGAUCAUUUUUCUUGUAGCAAACGAGAGGAAAGCUUAUUUCCAUUCCAAAUGGGGAUGAAGCUUGAAGCAGGCGGUAUUUUGUCACUGUCAUAACCAGAAGGAGAAUUAAUUGUCAUCAUGGCUCCCCGCAAGCCACCUUGUGGGGUAGAAAUGACAUUUUUAUAACCUCGGGCCCAUCAAAAAGCAGCCUGUGGAGCGCUACUCACUUCCUUUCUGGUUUGAGAUAGAGAUGAAUUUGGAGUCAAACCUUUACACUAAUUAUGUCAGCCCCCCCAAUUUGAACCGCCUACAGAAUGUGUCAGUAAACUGGGUGUUUUGGGCGUGCAACGAGUUUGAGAGAUUCAGCCGCUGUAGAUAGUCUUCUGAUUGCCUA